rfam:Macaca mulatta chromosome X, whole genome shotgun sequence.
GUAGGUUUUUGCUCAUGCACCAUGGUUGUCUGAGCAUGCAGCAUGCUUGUCUGCUCAUACCCCAUGGUUUCUGAGCAGGAAUCUUC